rnacentral:rRNA from 1 species
UACGGAGGGUGCAAGCGUUGUCCGGAAUCACUGGGCGUAAAGGGCGCGUAGGCGGCUCGGUAAGUAGGGGGUGAAAUCCUGCGGCUUAACCGCAGGGCUGCCUUCUAAACUGUCGAGCUCGAGCACAGGUAGAGGCAGAUGGAAUUCCCGGUGUAGCGGUGGAAUGCGUAGAGAUCGGGAAGAACAUCAGUGGCGAAGGCGGUCUGCUGGGCCGUUGCUGACGCUGAGGCGCGACAGCGUGGGGAGCAAACAGG